GUCAUAGCACAUACCUUAUUCCCGAACUUUCACUUUUGGAAGUUAAACCGUGUAGUUCGAACUUGGUGUGAGAAUACGUGUUAAACCCGACACCUUCGUCACGACACGCAUCACAAGCACCAUCAUGCCUAUUUAAGCAUCAUGAACAUCCUUUUGUGCAUAGUUGGACCUUAUAAGCAUCAUUUGUGCAUAAAUGAAUGUUUUGGCCAUGUGUUGUUAAGUGCCC
rnacentral:lncRNA from 1 species